AGAGUGUAAUUCAGGUAGAUGAUUGCAGAAAUCCAAAGUUCACUGGCUCCAUUGAUGCAUUCAGAAAGAUCCUGGCGUCAGAGGGUGUCAAAGGCUUGUACAGGGGUUUUGGCCCUGCUAUGGCUCGAAGUGUGCCUGCAAAUGCGGCAUGUUUCUUGGCGUAUGAAGUGGCAAGGUCUAGUUUGGGAUGAUUGAUUUUUUCAGGCAUUGGUUAUUGGCCAAAGAUUUUGGUUAAUCUUCAUCAUUGUUAUCAUAUUGCUCAUCUCAAAGUCCUCGUGUCAUUCAAUGAAAGCUUCUUGGAGUAAUUGUUAAGCAAUAUGAUAACAGCUUAUUUAUCAUAAAACAAACGGGCCUUUUAUCCUCCCAAUAUUGAUACGAUUCUUGUUUGGGUGAUGGAAGAAACACUUACCUCAACAGUAGUUGCAUUUGUUUUAUUUUUUUUCCCCUAAUUUUUCAGCAGAUGGUUUUCAUGUUAAACAAGAGGAUCUAAGCCAUAUGAAUAAAAU
rnacentral:misc_RNA from 1 species